UAGAUUUUCAGUUAUUUUUUAUAAUAUAUUGUCUACAAUAUUUGUUUUUGUUUUUAAUGUAUUGAUAGUUGAUAACACUGAUUGUUCUGUAAAUAGUGAUGGAUAUAAAAUACUUGAUGUAUUCGAGUAACCACAUUUAUAAAUUAAUAAUAAUAUAUUUUUAAUUUAUAAAAGUAUAACAAAAGUAAAAAUCAACAAUAUACUGUUGGAAUGUUGGAAAAUUAUUUAAUUACAACUUAUUUUAAUUUUUAAUAAUUUUGUUUGUAAGUAAAACACGAUUACUUGUGAAGAUUUAUAAAGAAGUACGACUACUUAGUAUUUUGUAAACGUAUUCACUAUAUUUUUUGUUCAAAAAAGAAGAAGCGCAAAUUAAUGGCUGAAGUGUUAAAAAGUAAAAUUUGAAAUAAAAAAAGAGUUAAAAGUAAAAUUUAAAAUAAAAAAAGAGUUAAAAAACAAUUAUUUAAAAAGUUUAAACAGUGGUUAAAAAAAUCUAUUUAAGUUAUAUCAGGUAAGGAAUCUGAAGAUUUUCCUUCAUCUUUAAACCAAGCAGACCAGUCCGUUUAUAAUGAGGAUCACGAGUCUACCCAAAAUUUUUCACAACCCCUACGGAAAAAAUUGAGAAUAUGGUUCCUAGAGUUUGGUCCAUCUGUACAGUGCUGCAACUCCCUCUUGAAGAUUUUGAAAUACGAAAAUAUGGAUGUUCCCAUCAGUGUUGGCGGUCUCUUACAGAGAACGGAAAAAUGCCAAACUA